ACAAAAGUUGCAAUGUACACAAGGACUGCGACUGGCUGUACUUGACGAGAUAAUCGCGGCGUUCACAAUCGAGGCGAGCGCAUCACUGGAUGUACAUUACAGUGUCGUACAGGUCAACGCUAUGACUGCUGCCUGCAAAGUGAGCACAUUCUCAUUGGUCCUGUGGCUGGGACUUUACGGGGGACUAGUCACUGGUCGAACAUUUGAAAUUCUCGAGAGAUGCUCUCAUUUCAAAAUGACUCAACGCAACGUGACGUUCUUAGAUGAUGACGUAAUCGACAUGUUGGAUGUUGAUGACGCCACAGCGUGUUCCCAGCACUGCGUCCGACGAGCCGACUGCACAACUUUUGUGACGAUGCCUGACGUCGACGGGUUCGUCUGCUGGUUAGGUAGAGGAGAACAUCCUGCUGUACCAGUUGAUUUCUCUUCUUCCUUGUUUACUUUGGUUUAGCAGAUUUAGUUUUUAUUGUGCUGACAAUACAGAAAUAUUCAUUUGAAACAGUCAUAUUUUAUGUUUUAAAAAUCAACUCUGCACGAGUAUAUUAUAAAUUAUUAACAUACUCUCUAAAUGAGCAAAAUUUAGAACAUUUAUUCUGAGAAUGUCAGACAUCUAAAGCAAUCAUUGAUGAAAUGUUACCAGAACAAUCUGUUCCUUUCAUCAACAUGACACUUAUUUCUACUUGGAUAUUCAAUUAAGUGUGCUAUAGGCAUAAAUAAUGUUAUUUUGUUUAUUAAAUUAUAAUUGCACAAAAGUAAAAUGAAUAAAUGAAUUCCAAGCAUUACGGGAGCAAAAAAAUACAAGUAUGAAUAUGCUAUAUUAAGAAAAAUAUCAAUUUAAUAAAAUAAUGUAGAAUGCUUUGACAUUGAAAGGGAACCGUUUAUUGCUAUUGUCUCACAAAAUUAGAAAUCAAAUUUGAUGAUUGUUAUUGUUUUAAGCACUUUUUACAAAUAAUAUUUAAGGCGCCCCGUUACUGCAAUAAAAUGUAGGACCUAUAUAUAAUUACUGUAUGCACCUUUAAUUGCUUCUCUAUGCCCUUUUCACCUGUUACUACAAUGUACACAUUCUUUGUUGUUUUUUCACACUAGAAGAUUUUUUUCCUUUGUAUGUACUUUGAAUAUGUUUUUUUUUAACACACAACUUAAUAUAAUUGUAAAGUUUACAAGACACUUCACUAACUUAAAUGCUUCGUCUGAUGUAGACUACUACUUUAUAUACUUAAGAUAUGAGUUGGUUGCAUUGCAUGCUUUUUU